GAUGAACGCUCGCGGCAGGCCUAAUACAUGCAAGUCGGACGGGAUUCAGGAGCUUGCUUCUGAUGAGAGUGGCGCACGGGUGCGUAACACGUAUGUAACCUACCUUUAUCAGGGGGAUAGCCUCUCGAAAGAGAGAUUAAGCCCGCAUAAAAUCACAGCACAGCAUUGUGUACUGAUCAAAUAUUUAUAGGAUAAAGAUGGGCAUGCGGAACAUUAGCUAGAUGGCGGGGUAACGGCCCACCAUGGCGACGAUGUUUAGGGGAUCUGAGAGGAUGGCCCCCCACACUGGUACUGAGACACGGACCAGACUCCUACGGGAGGCAGCAGUAAGGAAUAUUGGUCAAUGGGCGGAAGCCUGAACCAGCCAUGCCGCGUGCAGGAAGACGGCCCUACGGGUUGUAAACUGCUUUUAGACGGGAAUAAACCCAGAUACGUGUAUCUGGCUGAAUGUACUGUAAGAAUAAGGAUCGGCUAACUCCGUG
rnacentral:rRNA from 1 species